rnacentral:rRNA from 1 species
CCCUUAGAUGUUCUGGGCUGCACGCGCGCUACACUGAUGCGAUCAACAAGUUUUUCCUAUGUCGAUAGACACGGGUAAUCUUUUGAACUCGCAUCGUGAUGGGGAUAGAUUAUUGUAAUUAUUAAUCUUCAACGAGGAAUUCCUAGUAGGUGCAAAUCAUCAGUUUGCAUCGAUUACGUCCCUGCCCUUUGUACACACCGCCCGUCGCUGCUACCGAUUGGUUGAUCUGGUGGGUUAUUCGGACUGCCGGCUGAAGGGGUUUCCUCAUCUGCCAGCGGAAAGUCUUGUUAACCCUAUCAACUAGAGGAAGCAGAAGUCGUAACA